AUGCCUUAAAUUUAUGAGUAAGGAAAAUAACGAUUCGGGGUGACGCCCGAGUCCUCACUGCUUUUGCCGGGCAGUGGUGGCGCACGCCUUUAAUCCCAGCACUCGGGAGGCAGAGCCAGGCGGAUCUCUGUGAGUUCGAGGCCAGCCUG